UUCUACGUUUACUGAUUAUAUCAAAGGGCUAUCUUCUUCAACAUUGGAUGUAGAACUUAGAAUGCUCCAGAUUAUAGAAGGUGAUGAUGACGACGACGGCGACGACAAGCAAGAACCUACAAAGAAACCAGAGUUGCAUUCCAUUGAACUUCUGUUGGAUUAUUUCAUUCACGAGCUCUCAUGCAGAAACAAUUUCGAAUUCAUUCAAGCUGUUAUACGUUUAUUUCUGAAGGUAACAAAAAGUUCUUCUGGACCAUUAAAUUUUAAAAUCAUUAAAACUUGCGGCACAACUCUAAAAUCACUAAAAAUAGCGGAGCUUUGAUAUUAUGUAAUCUGAAGCAUUUGAUAUUUUGAUGUGGUUCCCUAUUUGUUUUCUAUUAAUUCUUCUCUUAAUAAUAAUGGUAUAAUACUUGAUUAUCUACUGGCAGAUUCAUGGGGAGUCGAUUCGAAGGCAGUCAAAUUUACAGGACAAGGCUAAAAAGCUUCUAGAACUUCAGUCAACAGUAUGGCAAUCAGUAGAUAAGUUAUUUCAGAGUGCUAGGUGCAUGGUUACAUUCCUAAGUAAUUCACAAUUCUGAACGGUUUUGAGUUAGUUGCACUAGUGUUUGUUACACAGUUUUGUUUCCUUGCCUGUUUGUAUCAAUUGUGGUAUCAAUAAUAUUUAAAUUCCAUUCUAUUGUUAGUCUAUCUAGUAGUUUUGAUCGUCCAAGCUUUUCCCAGAAAGUUGAUUUUGUCAGCACUUGUAACCCCUGAAUUUAUCAAGUGAAUGUAAGGUUUUUAAGUUUUACAGGGUUUAGUAUCUGUCUGUCGGAGCAAAACUGUCCAUUGCUACUAAUAGAGAGAAAAUAUGUUGCAUGGUGUUUUUACCAUAAAGAUUCCCGGACUUGUAUGUGUAUGUGUUUUAGAAAAGAUUCCCGGACUUGUAUGUGUAUGUGUAUAAACAUGUAAAGAGUGUGAAUUAUAAUGGGGUCGUUUGGGCAAAUUUAAAAAAGUUGUUAGAGAAGUAGAUUAGAAGUGGGAAGUAAUAAAAUGUGUGGAAAAUGAGCAGAGGUUUUAAGAGAAAAUUAACAUUCUUAAUUUUUUAAAAAUGUUUAUACUUAUUUAUACAAACGGGUCAAGAAAAGUGGGAACUAGAACCUGCUUCUACUUCUGGUAAACAAACAAAUGCAAUAUAAAAAAAAUAUAACAUAUAUAUUUUAAUAAAUAAAAUAAUCAUAUAAUUUAAAAGUGAGCAAGAUAUACACGAGCUUAUCAUUCACAGCCAAUUUGUUAUGUUUGGUCUGGGCACGGAGGUUAACAAAUAGGUAUAAAGUAUUGGAAAAGCAAAAUAAAAGCGCGUGAAGUGGUGAGAUCCGUUAAUUUUAAGAUAUAAAAAGGAGAUUGUGGAGUAGAAGCGGCGAAAAAUGAAGGAAAAAUGAUAAAACUCAUCAACUAUCAUCAAUUAUAUUUGAUAAAUUUUGAAAUGUAAACAAUUAGAUGGGAUACCAAAAAAAAUUGUAAAAAAAUGGUUGGAACAGAGGGAGAGGGUGUAAAAUGAGUUAGUACAACAAUGACUCCAAUUCUAAAGAAAAAAAAAUUCUACAACGUACAUUAGAAAAUUUGGAGAAAAAUACGGAUCAACAAUUUAUAUGAUAAAAUGAUUUUACAUUAUUAAUAAACUAAUGUCUAAAAUAAUUACAAUUAUAUAUAUACACACACAUUGAUUAAAAAGUACGAAUAUGCAACAAGAUAAAUAUAUUUGAUAAUGCAACAUAUGGACGCUGUUGAUUUUAGAGUUAUUCUACUGAACAUUUCUUUUCGAAAGAACAUAUAUUAUAUUUGAUUGGAUAAAUGGAUCCAGAAUAAAUGGAAUGAAAUUUGAAUUUUAUUAUGAAUAAUUAUCCAUAAAGUUAUAUUUAACAACGGUGAAUAUAUACAAACAUGAACACUUCUCGAUUAAAAUCUAAAUAUUGGUGAUAAACUUAAACUCUAAACAUUUUUAUUUUUAUAUAAAGAAUAUAAGUUAAAAAUUUUAUUAAAAUUGUUCAUCACUAAAUUAUGUCUUUAAGUGUAGUGUAUAUACAUAUAAUUUUACAAUAUUUUAUUUCUAUUCCAAGUGAACUAGUGUUUUCAUAUAUUUAUAGGCUAUUAAAUAUUUAUUGUGGGUAAUGUAUAUUUCGUAUUUUACUACAUGAAAAAGUUAGAUGGAGCCAUAUUACAUCGGUGAUUUUACAGAUUACAUAUGUAUGACGAACAUAUAUGUACACAGAAUAUAUUUUAUAACGUUCAACUUGCAAAACAUAUAUAAUCUCCGAUAUUUCUAAAAUAAUCCACUUUUUCAUUGAAUUUAUCCACAUUAAUGCUCUAGAUUAUAGAAGGUGACGACGACGUCAAGCAAGAACGUACAAAGAAUUUAACUAUAUACGUUUCACUAUUUUAGUUGGAUGAAAUAUUCAUCUACAGAUAUGUUGUUUUGAAUAUAUAACAUCCUUAUGUAAAAAUCUCUUGAAAUCUGAAUAUUAUCACAUUAAAAUCAUAUCUCAGAUGAUAAGAAUAUAUCUCUAUAUAAGUCAUGCAUAUUGAGCACAAAUAAUUCACAUCUUACACCCACUCAAAUAAAAAUCAUACUAUUUUUAAUAUUUGAUAGAAAUAGAAAAACAACAAUGAUGAAAUAUAUUAUCAUAAAACUUGUUAUCUCGAUGUUGGUGAUUGACUCUACAAUGAUUAACAUUGGAGCAGUGCUAACUCAUAACAAUGGUGGUCAUGGUGAGAAGGUUUCACUUGGAUGCAUAGCAUCGUGUGGUUUGUCAUGUGCAAGGACGGGAGAGUUGUUGCCUGCAUGUAUGGCAGCAUGCAUACUAAUUAAUUGUACUGAUUCUCCUAUAGCAGAUCCUGAUGGUGCCAAACAAUGUAGCAGUGCUUGUGCUCAAUCUGUUUGUGCUCGAUAUUCUGGUAAUGCUUUAUUUCCUUACAAGUAAAAUACAUAUACAAACACACAUAAAAUUACACUUACAAAUUUUCAUUUGUUGCAGAUAUAAAUAUUAUGGGACGGUGUAUUGCAAAUGAAUGUGUCGACAAGUGCCUACAUGCCUCAUAAGUGUCAUCAAUGUUAAAAUAUUUUGAGGGAAUUGAUAUUUCUUUCUUUGAAAAAUUUCAAAGACAUUUGAUUCAGUGAUCAACUAAGUUUCAUUCAAAUAAAAUUCGAUGAUUUUUGUCCUUAUAUUAGCAAUAAUAUUGAUUUCAAUUUUUAAUAUCAUAACUCAUAUGUCAUCUGGAUUCACUGUUAUUCUUUUAAUAAGUCCAAAAGUGGUACAAUUGAUAUCAUAUAAAUGAAAUUUUUUUUAAUAAACUGAACAUAAUUAUAUAACAUGAUUAUCUCUUUACAUAUAAAUGAAUAUAUUAUUAACUUACUGAUAUAUUGAUAUUUAUUCAUUUUUAAUUUAAUGUAUGGUGAUAAUUCUACCUAAAAGAAAUUACGGCCAAUAAAUUAAUUACAUUUUUUUUCUUAAUCUUGUAACUAAUAUUAUUUUUGUAACAAGACCAAUAUAUAUACACUUAGGUAUGACAAUAUUUUUUCUAUAUUUCACUUUACACUCAUACCAGCUUAUAACCUGUGCGUUAGCGGUUAAUAGUUGUUAUUUUAUCGUAUCUACUUUAAAUUUAAUUAAUUUUAUAAGUUGUUUUAGUUAAAAAGUUAAUAACUAUGUUGCUCGAUGUUAUUUUAGAAGACUGAGCUCUUUUAGUUAGAAAAUAUAAAAAAACAAUAUAUUUCAGUUAAAAAGAAUAAUUGGAUAUAUAAAUAGGCCCAUAUUUCGGCCCAAAUACCUACCUAUGGACCCGCCAAACUUUCAAUGUUUGGGCUUUAAUUAUAACCGUGUCAUGCACAAGUGAUUUACAAUAUUUGUUAUUUUAACAUACAUUUUUCAAGUUAACCGAUUUUAUUGUGAAUAUUAAAUUAUGAUAGAAUUAUUUAUUUUUUAUUAGAUUUUUUUAAAAUUUUUUAACAUAUUUGAAUUGAUAUAUUAUUUUAGUUAAGUGUGCUAAAUAAUUUUUUUAUUUAAUAACUGAAUAAAUUCUUAAUAGUUAAACUCAUCAAAUGACUAAUUAAAAAUUAGGAUUAAAAUAUAUGUUUUAAUAUAAAUGUCUAAAUAUAUUAUAAUUUAAGAAGAUUUGUGAUUCCAAAUAUCGUGCAAUCAACAAUCAACCAUCGACGGAUCAUACCAACUAAAUUUUUUAUGUUUUCAUUUAAUAGAUAAAAAAAAUAUUAGAACGUCUUUUUAUAAGGAGGCCCAUAAAGUCAAAUAACGACCGACCCCAAACUCCACCGACCAAACUUUUAAUAUUUCAAUUUCAGUAGUAUAACAAUAUAUAUCAUAGUGUAGAUAGACAGUAUAGGUUUAUAAUAUUAUUUUUGAAGCGGGGUCAUUAAAUUAUCUAAGAAUAAUGUUAAUUUUAGUUGAAAACUCUCAUAAAUUAUUUAUUAAUAAUUGUAUAUUAUAAUAUUAUAUCAAAGGGCUAUCUUCUUCAACAUUGGAUGUAGAACUUAGAAUGCUCCACAUUAUAGAAGGUGAUGAUGACGAAACGACCACAAGCAAGAACCUACAAAGAAACCAGAGUUGCAUUCCAUUGAACUUCUGUUGGAUUAUUUCAUUCACGAGCUCUCAUGCAGAAACAAUUUCGAAUUCAUUCAAGCUGUUAUACGUUUAUUUCUGAAGGUAACAAAAAGUUCUUCUGGACCAUUAAAUUUUAAAAUCAUUAAAACUUGCGGCACAACUCUAAAAUCACUAAAAAUAGCGGAGCUUUGAUAUUAUGUAAUCUGAAGCAUUUGAUAUUUUGAUGUGGUUCCCUAUUUGUUUUCUAUUAAUUCUUCUCUUAAUAAUAAUGGUAUAAUACUUGAUUAUCUACUGGCAG
rnacentral:lncRNA from 1 species